UUCUCGUUUAACAACAAGGGUUGUUUGCUGACCUGGCGCAGUUCUGGAGACUCACAUGCAGAGCAGAUGCUGAUGUGGUGUUCUGAUGUCUUAGAUGGCAUUAAGCACUCACCCAUGCAAAGCAGCGCUCCCAACCAGGGCAUCGGAGGAGACAGCCCAGCAAAACUGCAGGUGGAGCAGAACUCACUGCCACUCUUUUCCGUAUGUUCCUCCCUACGGGGGCCUGACUGGACCUCGACCUGAGGAGGGAACCGAAUGGAAACUUAAUGGAGAGGCGAGUCCCGCCCCAAGAAAAGUCCAUGGCUGUGCAUAUAAUAAACCCAUGAAAGUUGGGACACCAAAGCAAUGGAAAGCAUUGACAAUGAAUGCAUCCCUCUUUCAGCUGGUGAUGGAUUUUCUGUAGAUCGUAUCAGCAGACAGAGCAGAAAUGAGAUGCAGUGUCUUCCUUCCCUGGAAGAGAGCUGCGGUUUCUGAAUUCUGUGCCUGGAAUUUUUGACUCUUUUUUGCUUGCUUUGCUAGUCUGGUGAUGCUAUCAACUUCAUGAGAGCUUUUGUUUAGAGUGUUUUCUUUUUUCUCUCUCUCUCUCUCUCUUUUUUUUCU
rnacentral:lncRNA from 1 species